rnacentral:rRNA from 1 species
GAUGAACGCUGGCGGCGUGCCUAAUACAUGCAAGUCGAGCGAACGGACGAGAAGCUUGCUUUUCUGAUGUUAGCGGCGGACGGGUGAGUAACACGUGGAUAACCUACCUAUAAGACUGGGAUAACUUCGGGAAACCGGAGCUAAUACCGGAUAAUAUUUUGAACCGCAUGGUUCAAAAGUGAAAGACGGUCUUGCUGUCACUUAUAGAUGGAUCCACGCUGCAUUAGCUAGUUGGUAAGGUAACGGCUUACCAAGGCAACGAUGCAUAGCCGACCUGAGAGGAUAUUCGGCCACACUGGAACUGAGCCACGGUCCAGACUCCUACGGGAGGCAGCAGUAGGGAAUCUUCCGCAAUGGGCGAAAGCCUGACGGAGCAACGCCGCGUGAGUGAUGAAGGUCUUCGGAUCGUAAAACUCUGUUAUUAGGGAAGAACAUAUGUGUAAGUAACUGUGCACAUCUUGACGGUACCUAAUCAGAAAGCCACGGCUAACUACGUG